rnacentral:rRNA from 1 species
GAUGAACGCUAGCUACAGGCUUAACACAUGCAAGUCGCGGGACGGGGGCACGGGGGAGUUACGCGUAUCCAACCUGCCCUUCACCACGGGAUAACCCGGCGAAAGUCGGACUAAUACCGGAUGGGGAAGGAUGGGGAGGGGUGCGAUUAGCUGGACGGCGGGGUAACGGCCUACCGUGGCUACGUUCGGUGGGGGUGCGGAGGGGAAGGUCCCCCACACUGGAGCUGAGACACGGUCCAGACUCCUACGGGAGGCAGCAGUGAGGAAUAUUGGUCAAUGGGCGUAAGCCUGAACCAGCCAAGUAGCGUGCAGGACGACGGCCUAUGGGUUGUAAACUGCUUUUAUGCGGGGAUAGGUACCGCAUGAAUAAGGACCGGCUAAUUCCGUGCCAGCAGCCGCGGUAAUAC